rnacentral:rRNA from 1 species
UACGAAGGGGGCGAGCGUUGUUCGGAUUUACUGGGCGUAAAGGGCGCGCAGGCGGCCGGCCAAGUCAGGCGUGAAAGCCCCGGGCUUAACCUGGGAAUUGCGUCUGGGACUGGUUGGCUAGAGAUCGGGAGAGGAGAGUGGAAUUCCUGGUGUAGCGGUGAAAUGCGCAGAUAUCAGGAAGAACACCCGUGGCGAAGGCGGCUCUCUGGGACGGUACUGACGCUGAGACGCGAAAGCGUGGGGAGCGAACAGG